rnacentral:rRNA from 1 species
AGGGCGUUCUAUAACUUUAGGGCGUUCUAUAACUUUUUAUUUUUUAGGGGUAGUGUUCUAUAACUUUAGGGCGUUCUAUAACUUUUUCUUUUUUAGAGGUAGUGUUCUAUAACUUUUGGGCGUUCUAUAACUUUAGGGCGUUCUAUAACUUUAGGGCGUUCUACAACUUUUUAUUUUUUAGGUGUAGUGUUCUAUAACUUUAGGGCGUUCUAUAACUUUAGGGCGUUCUACAACUUUUUAUUUUUUAGGGGUAGUAUUCUAUAACUUUAGGGCGUUCUAUAACUUUAGGGCGUUCUAUAACUUUAGGGCGUUCUAUAACUUUUUAUUUUUUAGGGGUAGUGUUCUAUAACUUUAGGGCGUUCUAUAACUUUUUCUUUUUUAGAGGUAGUGUUCUAUAACUUUAGGGCGUUCUAUAACUUUUUCUUUUUUAGAGGUAGUGUUCUAUAAUAUUAGAGUGUUCUAUAACUUUUUAUUUUUUAGGGUUAGUAUUCUAUAAUAUUAGAGUGUUCUAUAACUUUUUCUUUUUUAGAGGUAGUGUUCUAUAAUAUUAGAGUGUUCUAUAACUUUUUCUUUUUUAGAGGUAGUGUUCUAUAACUUUAGGGCGUUCUAUAACUUUAGGGCGUUCUAUAACUUUAGGGCGUUCUACAACUUUUUAUUUUUUAGGUAUAGUGUUCUAUAACUUUAGGGCGUUCUAUAACUUUAGGGCGUUCUACAACUUUUUAUUUUUUAGGGGUAGUGUUCUAUAACUUUAGAGCGUUCUAUAACUUUUUCUUUUUUAGAGGUAGUGUUCUAUAACUUUAGGGCGUUCUACAACUUUUUAUUUUUAGGGGUAGCGUUCUAUAACUUUAGGGCGUUCUAUAACUUUAGGGCCUUCUAUAAGCUUAGGGCGUUCUAUAACUUUAGGGUGUUCUAUAACUUUAGGGCGUUCUAUAACUUUUUAUUUUUUAGGGUUAGUGUUCUAUAACUUUAGCGCGUUCUAUACCUUUUAUUUAUUCUAUUACUUUAGUCCUUUCUAUAACUUUAGACUAUUCUAUACUAGUAGCUAUUAUAUCCUUUUUAUAAUACUUAUUAUAUUAUACUAUUAUCUAUUAUUCUUUACUGUUAAGUAUAUCCUUAUAUUUUAUAAAACCUUUUCUCUACUAGCUAGUCCUACUAUACUUUCUUUUAUAACCUACUAGUAUUAAAUAAUACCUUUAUAUUCUUCUUUUAUACUAUCUCUAUUUCUUGCCUUAUCUAUUAAGUAGAUAUAGAUAGAGCUAAUAGAUCUAUAGUUAAUAUAGAUACAGUAGUUAUAGUAGAGUACAGAUAUUAGAGUAGAUAUCCUUAUCUAUAUAUUUACCUACUACUAAUAAAAUUCCAAGUUACUCUUAUCUAGCGAAUACGGGUUUAUGGUUUGU